rnacentral:rRNA from 1 species
GAUGAACGCUGGCGGCGUGCCUAAUACAUGCAAGUCGAGCGAACAGACGAGGAGCUUGCUCCUCUGACGUUAGCGGCGGACGGGUGAGUAACACGUGGAUAACCUACCUAUAAGACUGGGAUAACUUCGGGAAACCGGAGCUAAUACCGGAUAAUAUAUUGAACCGCAUGGUUCAAUAGUGAAAGACGGUUUUGCUGUCACUUAUAGAUGGAUCCGCGCCGCAUUAGCUAGUUGGUAAGGUAACGGCUUACCAAGGCAACGAUGCGUAGCCGACCUGAGAGGGUGAUCGGCCACACUGGAACUCAGACACGGUCCAGACUCCUACGGGAGGCAGCAGUAGGGAAUCUUCCGCAAUGGGCGAAAGCUUGACGGAGCAACGCCGCGUGAGUGAUGAAGGUCUUCGGAUCGUAAAACUCUGUUAUUAGGGAAGAACAAAUGUGUAAGUAACUAUGCACGUCUUGACGGUACCUAAUCAGAAAGCCACGGCUAACUACGUG